rnacentral:rRNA from 1 species
GUCUAUGGCCAUACCACCCUGAUUGUGCCUGAUUGCAUCUCAUCUUGGAAGCCACGCAGAGUUGGGCCUGGUUAGUAUUUGGAUGCGAGACCACCUGGGAAUACCAGGCACUAUAGACU